rnacentral:rRNA from 1 species
CCUACGGGCGGCAGCAGCGGGGAAUAUUGCACAAUGGGCGCAAGCCUGAUGCAGCCAUGCCGCGUGUGUGAAGAAGGCCUUCGGGUUGUAAAGCACUUUCAGCGGGGAGGAAGGCGUUAAGGUUAAUAACCUUGGCGAUUGACGUUACCCGCAGAAGAAGCACCGGCUAACUCCGUGCCAGCAGCCGCGGUAAUACGGAGGGUGCAAGCGUUAAUCGGAAUUACUGGGCGUAAAGCGCACGCAGGCGGUCUGUCAAGUCGGAUGUGAAAUCCCCGGGCUCAACCUGGGAACUGCAUUCGAAACUGGCAGGCUAGAGUCUUGUAGAGGGGGGUAGAAUUCCAGGUGUAGCGGUGAAAUGCGUAGAGAUCUGGAGGAAUACCGGUGGCGAAGGCGGCCCCCUGGACAAAGACUGACGCUCAGGUGCGAAAGCGUGGGGAGCAAACAGGAUUAGAUACCCGUGUAGUC